UACGAAGGGUGCAAGCGUUACUCGGAAUUACUGGGCGUAAAGGGUGCGUAGGCGGGUCUUUAAGUCAGGGGUGAAAUCCUGGAGCUCAACUCCAGAACUGCCUUUGAUACUGAGGAUCUUGAGUUCGGGAGAGGUGAGUGGAACUGCGAGUGUAGAGGUGAAAUUCGUAGAUAUUCGCAAGAACACCAGCGGCGAAGGCGGCAUCCUGGACUGGUCCUGACACUCAGGAGCGAAAGCGUGGGGAGCGAUCCGG
rnacentral:rRNA from 1 species